GACGUAGGGCGCGAGCGUUGUCCGGAUUUAUUGGGCGUAAAGAGCUCGUAGGCGGCUUGUCGCGUCGAAUGUGAAAUCUCAGGGCUCAACUCUGACAUUGCAUUCGAUACGGGCAGGCUAGAGUUCGGUAGGGGAGACUGGAAUUCCUGGUGUAGCGGUGAAAUGCGCAGAUAUCAGGAGGAACACCGGUGGCGAAGGCGGGUCUCUGGGCCGAUACUGACACUGAGGAGCGAAAGCGUGGGGAGCGAACAGG
rnacentral:rRNA from 1 species